UAAUUUGGUGCUUUACUUGCUCAACAAGCUGCUUUGACUAUUAAGAAAGAAAAUCAUUUGCAUUUUCUUAUUGUAGCAUGCUCGACUUAUAGAACAUUAGACCCCAUCCAUAAUUGUAAAUUGAUUCCACCAGUUGUAAUCAAAGAAUGCCUUGCUGCUUGAUAUAUUAAUUUCAGAUUUUUUUUGCUUCUACUUCUUCAAACUUAUUUUUUGCAGACUGCAACUGAGUCAUCAGGUCCUUGGAUCACCCACUCAUCUCAUGUCCCUGCUGUUAAAGAAAUUAAUAACACAUGGUUAUUUAGAAACAUAAUACCAGCAUCUCAUGCCAUAUUCUCCAAACUUGCUUUUUUGCAAAGCAUAAUGCUUCUGUUUCCUGCAUAUAAACAGUUAAAAACAUAAAUAGCAGCAGAUAGCCCAACCAAAUCAAGAGAGGACUUUCCGAAGAAUAUUACAAACAUUUUCAUAAGCAGCUGUUUCUUCGGUAUUAACUAUCAAGCAUAUAAACUCUGAUAGAAUAAUACAUAGUUUUAUUCUUCCUCAAAGGAGAAAUAAGAAUAUCCAGCUACACUAUUCCACCAUAUUCUGCUAACGACAAAUUAUCCAACAAGAAAAUAAUAUGCAUCAGAAGAAUCAUACCAUCAAUAUAGCUACCCAUUGGCUUAGAGGAACAUUCCUCGAUCUACAUUAGCAACAUCAUCAAAUUAGUGGAUAGAACCUGUAAUAUUCUUAUCUAAUUAAUAGAAUAAUGAUUGUACUGUGAAAGAAGAAAUUAAACUUUAUUGUACAAUCAAUGCUUUUCACUGGAGAAAAAUGAACUCAUAGAAAAGAAUAGCUGAGCUUAGUCCAACUUGGUGCAACAAGAACCGCAACUGAGGACUCCAACUAUCAUGAUCUUCCUGAAAGUAGACCUUAACAAAGAAAGCAAUUUGGUACUGCUCCUAUUUUCAUGUUAAGCCUGCACAGCUUAACUGGUCAUUAUACAUGGAGAGCUCAUAAUUCAUUAUUGCAUAGUAGUGUAUAGAAGGUCAUGGUGAAUGUUAGUGAAAGCAUACUGGCCAAGCAUCUUGUAUCAUUUUCUGCUUAUGUGAGUCAAACCAAUCCUACACA
rnacentral:lncRNA from 1 species